GGCCUUGCUUGGAAUCUUACGGUAGUCGAGUGCUAUGUGUGAAUCUUUCUUAGAGGAGAUGGUUUACUGAAAGGAUUGUUCCACAUUUUUUUUCUCUGCAGCCAAGUAAGAUUUAAAGCUUACGUUGUGCUCAUUGCAGGCAGUAGGGAUGGAGGCUUGAGCAUACCGAUCCCAAGGACAAAUCUUCACCCAUUGUCAUCAAAGGAGUCGUAUACAAAGAAAUUAAAGGAGUCUGUGCAGCGGCUUCGUCCCGAGUUUCAUUUCCCGCGUUCUUCGCUGCUUCAAGGUCCAAGCAUGCAGGGUUGUGGAUUCUCCGGCUCCUGUCAAAGGAUUGCACGAGCCAGUACACUCAGCCAAGGACAUUAAGCAGAUGUGGUCGUUACUGUUUAAGAAGCAACAUCUUUUCCACAGGUUUCCAAGGCAGGGUGAGCUGAGAGAAGAGUAGGCCCUAGCCGUGUGCCGCUCACCUGCGUAGGCACCAUCACAAUGGAGUGUUGUUUGCUCGGCGCACUUCGGCCAUGGUGAUCUUGCGAGCGGUACCAAAGGCCAGGGUCACUUGAUGGUGAAUGCAGUGCCAUCGCUUGCGGGCCCCACUAAGACGCUUGCAAAGGUUGAUGCUACAGCUAUGAGACAACCUUCAAGUGAAGCAGCUUGAUCCACGGGAACAUCACAGAAUCAAGAUGAGCCAGCAGGUCUCUCUGAAGCGACAAUAGACAUGGACAUCUCCGAGGGCUUGUCAGAUGUGCUAGCAGAGGGUGCUGCUACAACUGCCAGCUCGUCCUUCGCUGAUUCAGACAUUGCUGAUGAGCCUUCCGAAAUCCAACAUGUCCUGGUAUGUUUGAUUGUGUCUCCCAGUCGAAGGCCUACCAGCACGCUUGAGGGUGACGCUUCGGCAGCACUGCCUAUGCAUAGCCCAGCAACACCUCGAACAGCAAGGCAUACUACGUCACCACCGGCUACUGCGGCUCUCGUCAGCAGGGCGCGAGCGACGCUUGCUCGUGCCGACUUCUGCGUCGCCGUUCCCGGGGUCCUGGGCUGGAGUCGUGCCAUCAAAUCUGCAGACGUGGUGCUGUGACCAACGGACGCCAGCGGUGAACCCCAGAGUCAAUGUCGGCUCACACGUUGUGGAUAACGCGUGGACAUUUACUCGGCGGCGCGCGCCACUGUCGCAUGUGCUAACUUUUGUUCGCGACGCGCGCGUUGAUAGGCCUUGUGACAUGUUUCGCCGGCGUAUGUGUAGUGAUUUAAGGUUGGGGAGAUGUGGGGAUGCGCGACUCUCACGCGUCCCCUGAUGUUGUUUUCCCCGCAUGUCUCCUGUAGCCCGGCUUCUCUGCGUGGCUAAGCCCGGCGGUGGUUGCGGCGCGUUGCAAGAGAUGGCGCUAGUGUCGCGAUGCUAACGCCACCGAACGGCGGGGUCACUUGCGGCCGGCAGACGACCACCCCCUCCAGCGCAGCCGACACUUAGGGCGCAGCACUGAGAGUCACCUUCGAGCCCCGACAACAAUCCCGCCUCGCAAGCCCGAGCAGUGCAGCUGACCAGCCGCCUCCGAGUCGGCAUCAAGUGUUCGGUGUUCUGUGACAGCGCUUCCUCGGUCGCCAACCUCGGCGGGUACUCAGGCAAACGGAUGUCCCUAGGUGCCAGCCUCAACGUACGGGGGCCUUCUUAAGGGGGGGAGGAUGUGGGGAGCACACGCUGCCACCUUCUCCCGCGGACGCUCGCCAGUCACUUGCGAACGGAGCGCACGCGGCUGCGGGCAUAUGCCCGCACAAGACGCGCGCGCCCGUGCGGGAAGAGGGAAAGUAUCCGGCGGGCGAGGAGGACACUCCCCUCGCGGAAAGGUAAAAAGAUAUAAAAGAGCGCGACCGAGAGACCCCCGGUCUCUCUGACAUCGCUUGACCUACCUGCCGAUAUGGAUUUACCUGCUGAAAGCCGUGAGUGACCUUUUUUUCCCAAGUGACCCCGCCGUUCGGUGGCGUUAGCAUCGCGACACUAGCGCCAUCUCUCGCAACGCGCCGCAACCACCGCCGGGCUUAGCCACGCAGAAAA